rnacentral:pre_miRNA from 7 species
GAUUUGGUAUCACUGGUGAGGGUGCUGGUGAAGAUAGGCCACACAGUGAAAGACCCUAGUGGGGAGACUCCCACUCAAGUCCCGAGAUGGCACGCACCCAAGGAAUCACAAGAGACC